GACGAACGCUGGCGGCGUGCUUAACACAUGCAAGUCGAACGGAAAGGCCCUGCUUUUGUGGGGUGCUCGAGUGGCGAACGGGUGAGUAACACGUGAGUAACCUGCCCUUGACUUUGGGAUAACUUCAGGAAACUGGGGCUAAUACCGGAUAGGAGCUCCUGCUGCAUGGUGGGGGUUGGAAAGUUUCGGCGGUUGGGGAUGGACUCGCGGCUUAUCAGCGUGUUGGUGGGGUAGUGGCUUACCAAGGCUUUGACGGGUAGCCGGCCUGAGAGGGUGACCGGCCACAUUGGGACUGCGAUACGGCCCAGACUCCUACGGGAGGCAGCAGUGGGGAAUAUUGCACAAUGGGCGGAAGCCUGAUGCAGCAACGCCGCGUGCGGGAUGAAGGCCUUCGGGUUGUAAACCGCUUUCGCCUGUGACGAAGCGUGAGUGACGGUAAUGGGUAAAGAAGCACCGGCUAACUACGUG
rnacentral:rRNA from 1 species